AUGGAGUUGGGCAUGAAGCUAUGGGAAAAAGGCAGGGUGGUGUUGAUACCAGGGGACAAAACCAAUGGAGCAAAAGACCUCCAGGAGAUCCGGGAGGAGUACCCAGACAGGAUAUGAACCCGUUCAGUGUGGUACCCUCACCCAAAGUAUCAGACACGGUGGUGGAGCCCAACAAUGCCACCUUCCCCAUCCUCCAGUUCAUAGGAAACACAGACGAGACCUACUGCAUCGAUAAUGAAGCUCUCUAUGACAUCUGCUUCAGAACCCUAAAGCUUCUAUGCCCACCUACAGUGACCUGAACCACCUGGUGUCUGCCACGAUGAGUGGGGUUUCUACCUGCCUGUGCUUCCCAGGCCAGCUCAAUUCUGACCUGCAGAAGCUGGCCGUGAAUAUGGUCCUGUUUUCUCACCAGCAUGUCUUCAUAUCCAGCUUUGCCCUGCUGCCCAGCCAGGGGAGCUAGCAAUCCCGGGCCCUGACAGUGCCGAGCUCACCCAGCAGAUGUUGGAUGCCAAGAACAUGAUGGCAGCCUACGACCCCCACCAUGGCCGCUACCUGACAGUGGCCGCCGUGUUCAGGGGCCUGCAUGUCCAUGAAGGAGGUGGAUGAGCAAAUGCUUAAUGUCCAAAACAAGAACAGCAGCUACUUUGCUGUGUUGAUCCCCAACAAUGAGAAAAUGGCUGUCUGUGACAUCCUGCCCCGAGGGCUAAAAAUGUCCAGUCAUCUUCACUGGCAACAGCAGAGCCAUGCAGGAGCUGUUGUAGUGCAUCUCAAUGUAAUUCACAGCCACGUUUCUGCACAAGACCUUUCUGCACUGGUACAUAGGCGAGGGCCUGGACGAGAUGGAGUUCACUAAGGCCAAGAGCAACAUGAAUGACCUGGUGUUCAAAUACCAACAGUACUAGGAUACCACAGCUGAGGAGGAGGGUGAGUUCGAGGAGGAGGUGGCCCAGAGCCUCCAGUCACCGGGGAAAUCGAGGAAGCAGUGUGAACUCUUUAUUCACUCCCAGCCUGUCCUCUGGCCUAUCCCACUGUGUUUGCACUUGCUAUUUUCCCUGUCCAUGUGCCAUGCUGUACAGACACCAUUAUUAAAGCAUUUUCAUAGUGAAAAAAAAAUUUUUUUGAAUUAUCAGCUGGAGAACGUGGCUGAGGGCCUAGUGGACACUGGAGUCGAGGAGCUGUCAGAGGUCCCAGAACACCUUAAGCUGAUGGGAAUGGUUGAGCUCCCAGGUGACACCCAGAUGGAGGAGAUGGCUAGCAAUCCAUCAGGGAUCUUGAAGGGUCAGCCAUGA